GACGAACGCUGGCGGCGUGCUUAACACAUGCAAGUCGAGCGGAGAUAAGCGGAAGGUAACUGAAGCUUAUCUUAGCGGCGGACGGGUGAGUAACACGUGGGCAACCUGCCUUGAAGUGGGGGAUAACACCGGGAAAUCGGUGCUAAUACCGCAUAACAUACACAAACUGCAUGGUAAGUGUAUCAAAGGAGCAAUCCGCUUUAAGAUGGGCCCGCGGCUGAUUAGCUAGUUGGUAAGGUAACGGCUUACCAAGGCGACGAUCAGUAGCCGACCUGAGAGGGUGACCGGCCACACUGGAACUGAGACACGGUCCAGACUCCUACGGGAGGCAGCAGUGGGGAAUAUUGCGCAAUGGGGGAAACCCUGACGCAGCAACGCCGCGUGGAGGAAGAAGGUCUUCGGAUUGUAAACUCCUGUCUUCUGGGACGAAGUAUGACGGUACCAGAGGAGGAAGCCACGGCUAACUACGUG
rnacentral:rRNA from 1 species